rnacentral:lncRNA from 13 species
AAAUUUUGUAUAUGUGUAUAAAAUGAAAAAGCUUCACCUAGAGAUUAUUUCUGAAAAAUGUAAAAAUAAUUUUGUGGCAUAUUUCUAGUCCCUUUGUUUGAAUGAACCAAUUAUACUUUAUUUGGUCUCUUAUGUAGCAUUUCAGAAAACAAGAUAAAACUGUUACCAUGAACAAACAUUGCCAGAAUUAACCUUACUGUUUAAGAGGCCAACUUCUGGAAGGAGAUGGAGUCUCCCUCUGUUGACCAGGCUGGAGUGCAGUGGUGCAAACUCGGGUCACCACAACUUCUACCUCCCAGGUUCAAAUGAUUCUCCUGCCUCAGCCUCCUAAGCAGCUGGAACUACAGGUCUGAAGACCUGAGAUCCAGGA